rnacentral:lncRNA from 1 species
GGCUCCCAUUUUGGCUGUAGUGUUUCCAAGCGCGUCAAUGAGAGCACGUUCUUUGGUACUUUUCUCCAGUAAAGAUAAACAAUUUUAUUGUUUAUUUGCAUAUUGGGGUACCUAUUGUUUGAUUAUAAACGUUGAUUGACUUGUUUGGAUAAGUUUAUUGGUAACGUUUGGGAUUCAUUUUGUAUGCAUUUUGAAGGAGGGAAACCGAGUGGAUUAUUGACUGAAGCGCGCCAGUUAAACUGAGUUUUUAUGGAUAUAAAAAAUGACUUUAUCGAACAAAAGGACCAUUUGUAAUGUAACUGGGACCUUUUGGAGUGACAACAGAAGAACAUUUUCAAAGGCAUUCCACUGAUUUCAAAACUCAGUCAUCUUCUUCCGUGACAGCAACACUGUUGAUCGCCGUUUCUUCCCCAUCACAGUCAUCAGAAGACUCUACAAUGUCUGGUUAAACAGAAGACCAACAAUCACAGCAUCUCAGUUCAGUUACUGAGAGGUUUUAACUGCCCAAGAGGCUAAGAGCAUGGUCUGGCCGGGGGUCAUGAGGGACGACAUACAUGUAGGGGGUCAUGCAGGGGGUCAUGAGAGACGACAUACAUGUACACUGUAGGUUCUGAUGUUACCAAGUACUUACAUGCCAUUGAUCAGAGUGAGAAUAAGGAUCUGACCAGUGUUGAAUUUGUAUUGAGCUCAGACAUUAUUCGCCUGCCCCCUAAACAGAUGUUUGUCAUAGCAAGUGAAGAUAGGAAUGAUAUGUAUAGUGUCUUCACAUUGAUGUAUCCAAACAAUGAUCUCACCAUUGUACAGCUGACAGAACAACAUGGUAAGGUAGACAUGCAGGGAGAGGUUAUAAGCACUGAUCAAAGUAGAAGUUUUUGAUAAUGUGUACUUGCAAAGUGGUUCGCCACUGACAGACAGAGGGGCCUACCACACAUUCAAAGAAGUAAAGCUAACACCAGGCAUAGUAACACAGUUGUUCUCUUGUGAUGUGCUUGAUGGUCCAGCACAUGUAGACACAUGUCAUUCCCGUGUAAAUUGCUUCCUGAAACAUCUACAUAAAUAUAAUUUCAAGCCCCCUGUUGAGGUUUGGGGCAAUUCUUUGGAAUCAGUAUCAGGCACAGUUCAUUCCAUUUCAGAAAAUUAUGAAGUGCUGUGCAUAUUGAAUCAAAAAAUUAUUCAAGCCCUGUCGAGUUGGUUGUUGAUCAUUGCUAGACAACCAUUUUCAAGUCUUGCCAUAGACUUUCAAGAUUUACAAGCCAAUUUAUGUCAAAACUGUAACUAAGGCCACUCAGGAACAUUCAGUGUUGUCUUGGUAAGUAACUCCAGUGUAUAUUUGGCAUUGUAUUUUAUUGUCCUGCUGGUGGAUUUGUCUCCCACUUUUGGAAAGCAGACUGAACCAGGUUUUUCUCUACGACUGCGUCUGUACUUAGCUCUAUUCCUUUUCUUUUUAUCCUGAAAAACUCCCUAGUCCUUUCCGAUGACAAACAUACCUAUAACAUGAUGCAAUCACCACCAUGCUGGAAAAUAUGAAGAAUGGCACUCAGUGAUGUGUUGUGUUGGAUUUGCCCCAAACAUAACGCUUUGCAUUCUGGACAAAAAGUUACUUUCUUUGCCACAUUUUUUGUAGUUUUUCUUUAGUGCCUUAUUUUAAACAGGAUGCAUGUUUUGGAAUAUGUUUUAUUCUGUACAAGCUUCCUUCUUUUCACUCUGUCAUUUAGGUUAAUAUUGUGGCGUAACUACAAUGUUGUUGAUCCAUCCUCAGUUUUAUCCUAUCACAGCCAUUUAACUCUGCAACUGGUUCAAAAGGAUUAUGAUUAUUAUUUGACCCUGCUGGUCAUCUAUAAACGUUUGAAUACCUUGAAGAACAAUCUGGCCUUAAUGGCCAUGUACUUUUAUCAUUUCCACACGGCACAGCCAUAAGAGAACUGGCCUCUCUAGGUUUCUUCCUAGAUUCCUUCCUUUCUAGGGAGUUUUUCCUAUCCACCGUGCUUCUACAUCUGCAUUGCUUGCUGUUUGGGGUAUUAGUUUGGGUUUCUGUAUAAGCACUUUGUGACAUCUGCUGAUUUAAAAAGGGCUUUAUAAAUACAUUUGAUUGAUUCAUUUAAAAUCACCAUUGGCCUCACGCGGCAGGUAGCCUAGUGGUUAGAGCAUUGGACUAGUAACCGAAAGGUUGCAAGAUCAAAUCCCCGAGCUGACAAGGUAAUAAUCUGUCAUUCUGCCACUGAACAAGGCAGUUAACCCACUGUUCCUCAUUGAAAACAAGAAUUUGUUCUUAACUGACUUGCCUAGUUAAAUAAAGUAUAAAAUGGUGAAAUCCCUGAGUGGUUUCCUUCCUCUCUGUCAACCGAGUUAGGAAGGACUCCUGUAUCUUUGUAGUGACUGGGUGCAUUGAUACUCCAUCCAAAGUAUAAUUAUUAACUUCACCAUGCUCAAAGGGAUAUUCAAUUUCUGCUUUUUUACCCAUCUAUCAAUAGGUGCCCUUCUUCACGAGGCAUAAGACAACUUCCCUUGUCGUUGAAUCUGUGCUUGAAAUCCACUGCUCGACUGCGCAGAUUGAAUACGCAGAUCAUUGCAUGUGCGGAGUACAGAGAUGGGGUAGUCAUAAAACAAUUAUGUUAAACACCAUUAAACGCACAAAGAGUUAGUCCAAGACACUUAUUAUCUGACUUGUUAAGCAAAUUUUUACUCGUGAAGUUAUUUGGGC